GUUGGCUGUCUUGGUGGCAUGUGCCCGAAUGGAUUGUUCGUACAGGGCCGGUGGUAUCGGUGGUAGCGAUGAAAGCGGAAUGGAUAUUACGCUUCCGUAAACUUAUAAAAUAACAUACCAUCCUACACCAUUAAUUUCUGAGUUCUACGAGUAGUCUUUUUAUAUUUGGAAGAAAUGGAAAAUACCAGCGAAGGAACGCUUAUUACUUUGUUCUAUCUCAUUUUCAACAUAGUCAGUUCUAUAGUUAUAGUUUUACUGAACAAGUGGGUGUAUAAGUAUGUAGGAUUUCCCAAUUUGACAUUGACAUUUCUACAUUUUGUUGUUACGUUUGUAGGGCUGGUUUUGUGUCAGAAAUGCAAUGUCUUUAAAGUGAAGCAUGUGCCUUUAAAAGAUAUGGUGCCAUUGGCAUUCACGUUUUGCGGAUUUGUAGUUUUUACCAAUUUAAGUUUACAAAACAACACCGUCGGGACGUAUCAGGUUGCAAAAGUGAUGACAACACCAUGUAUAAUAAUCAUCCAAAUAUUUUUCUACAAGAAAGAGUUUCCUUUAAGGGUUAAACUGACCCUAAUACCCAUUACCUUGGGAGUGUGCAUGAAUUUCUACUAUGAUAUCCAGUUCAAUGUUCUGGGUACAGUGUAUGCUACACUGGGGGUGGUGGUCACGUCAGUGUACCAAGUGUUGGUGAGCCAGAAACAACAUGAGCUACAAAUGAAUGCAAUGCAGCUUCUGUACUACCAGGCUCCAUUAUCGGCCUUAAUUUUGCUUCUCUUAGUACCUGUCUUUGAGCCAGUGACCACCACCAUUGCAAUACACUGGACUGCUGCAGUAGUUGGUUUGGUAGCAAGUUCAUGUAUAACAGCAUUUUUUGUUAAUCUCUCCAUCUAUUGGAUAAUUGGAAACACAUCACCACUUACGUACAACAUGGUGGGACACAUGAAGUUUUGUCUUACCGUGCUUGGUGGUGUUCUCCUGUUUCAAGAGCCAUUCCAUAUGAACCAGGGUGUUGGGAUCAUACUCACUGUGCUUGGAGUAACAGCCUAUGCACAUGUAAAGCUAAAGAAACAAGAUGAUGGAGCAGAUGCGGAAGAGCAGUUUUAAUAGCGGAAGAUAGUGAUUAAACACGUCAUUACAUAAGAACCAUCUAAUAUUCAAAAAAAGAUUGCUCUAAAUGGACUCAAGAAAUUAAGCUGUCUGCUAUAAAACAUUUAAAAUUGAUGGACUACCCCAGCAGCUGCCAUUCAAACAUGUACCAAGAAACAUUACAAAAGGAAGUUCUGUCUAAUUUAGAAAUACCAAGGUUUGCACAGCAUUUAGAAAUACUGAGGUUUGAACAACAUACUGUAUUUAUUAAACUAAAAAUGGAAGAACUUACUUAGUAAACUUCCAUAAGAUGGAUGGAAUAGGUUAUGGAUUUACAUACAAAGAAGUCCUUAGACUUGUGUAUUGUUUUUUCUUUCACAAAUGGUACAAAGCAUUCAUUUAACGGUGACUUAUAGAUGGCAUGGAAAGGACUCAGUGGUUUUUGAGUUACUACAAAUAUCCCAGUCUUGAGUUGUAGAAGCUUUAUCAUUCACUUGCAUCCCAGGAAUAUCAAAAUAGUCAGCAAAUGUUAUGAUCGUCCUUCCAGUUUAUUGAACACUCAUUAUGUUUGGGAUAAACUAUCCAAGAUUAGCUGUUAUGAGACUGAUCCAUGACAUACAAACCAAAGAAAGAAAUUUUCCAGGAUGGAGAGAGGUUGUGAGUCAGAUUAACUCUGACAGUGGUGAAACUGUAAGCGUUGUGGUAUAUUUCUAUUAGUAAGCAGCACAUUCUUCCUUUUGUUAUGGUGAAAGAUCAGUGGUACGGUACUCCGGCUUUUAGUCCACAAGUGAACUAUACCAACUGAGCGACUGCCACUUUUCAGCGAAGUUAGUGCCAAUUUUUGCUGAUAGAGGGUGUCACAUGGUAAGUGCAACGGAUUCCCCCUGCUGUUAAUCCCAGUUUCCUAGACUGGAUCUGUGGUACAGUGCUAGUUAAGAAAUUGGUAAUCCACCUGAAACAGAAGUCAAGCUUUUGGAAGGUGGCUGCAUAAAAUGGAAACAGUUUUUUUCAGCUUGUAGACCAUUUCAUUGGGGCAAGACCCCCUAUACCAGUGAUUUUAAACCUCAGUGGUCAUGGAUCACACUGUUUGGAACCAUCGACACUGGAUAUGGGACUAGCAAACAAGAUUUCCUUGAAGAAUACUGUCUUCUGUGUGUACGUGUACGCUGUGUAAUAUGUUGAAAAUAAACUAAUGUUUCGGAGGAACUUGUGUUCAUCUUCAGGGCAGAAGAAUAAGCUCUGCAAGAUACCGGUGUGAAGGCAGGUGGUAAGCAGAGCUUUCACACUGGUAUCUUGCAGAGCUUAUUCUGCCCCGAAGAUGGUGAUAUAUUCCUCAAAAAUGUCAGUUGACUUUCAACGGACUACACAAUGUUAUACUCGUAUCCCAGAAGAGAGUAUUCUUCAUAACCAUUGCUGUGAGAACCUCAGAACUUGCGUAAGUUUUCCUUGAGUUUUCCAUAACAUUGCACUCACCACCUUCAGCCUGUGGAACACAUCUGAAAGAAUCCAAGUAAGGAUUUGACAUUUGGAAGCAUAUUUGCAGAAGCAUGGAAUCAUACAGCUGUUGUUGGAAGUGCUGUAAAUGGGUUCAGGACAAUUUUCAAUGAACUGUUUGUGGGAUUUGUAAAAGGUAUUGUUGCAGUGCCUAUGUACCAUGCCCUUACCCUGAUGUGGUCAACUGUAUUGCCAUUAGUUGUGCAGAUAGUACUAAGAAAGAAACAGGAAUAUAUGAAUGUUAGAUAUGACUUAAUAAUCCACUGGAAAAUCUUUUUUAUCUUUUCAUUCUAUAAAGUAUAUACUUAGGUAUAUUCUUACCUUUUUAUCAAGACAGUUAAGACCUUCAUGUUAAUAAAAUUCUGAAAGAAGAUACACAGAAGCUAUCAUGUCCAAUGGACUAAUGACCUGAUUUACACUGAUUUGUUAAGGUAGGUCUUUGAAUGAACACAGUUUAAAAAGGAAGUGUAAGAAAGAAUUUAUUACAUUUUUAAUGAGAUGAAUAUUAAUUAUGAGUGUUACAAAUCAAAGUGCUCAGGGAAAUACUUGGAUCCAAGAGGAUUAAGUAAACCUAAUGAGGAAUUUUUCAGUUGUAAGGUCAUUGAAGUCUAUGAAGCUACAGUGGAUUGGGUGUGAAGCUAGGAUGUGUGUAAGGGGUGGGCCAUAAAAACCGGCCCUCACACUGCGACCUUCAGUGAUCUAUUGUAUUUCCCUUUUGGAUUAACCCUUUAUUAUUCCUACACUUGGAAUGAGAUGCAGGACUUUAUUUAAGGGGCAUCAUAAAAGUCACUUGGUUCAAUGAAGAAGUGACCCAGGUGGCGAUAUCUUAAGUAAGCUGUGGCCCCACAGUCAAAUAGGAUAUGUAUGGCUGAUUCAUCUUCUUGUAGGUACCUUUCACAGGUUGGGUCAUCUGUCAGCCCCAGUUUGGAAAGGUGUCCUUUU